rnacentral:rRNA from 1 species
GCCGUGUGAACUGCAGGACACAUGAACAUCGACACUUUGAAUGCAAAUUGCGGAAUUGAGCUUGUCUCGGUUCCAUACCUGGCUCAGGGUCGGUUAAACAUCUAUCAGACAGCUUGCUGUCUGCAUUGGGCUCCUCGCUAUGCUUGUCACAGCGGAGCUCUAAGAUUCGUCUCGCAGAGUGCAUCGACUCGACUCUUGGGAGAGAUCCUGGGUUGUUGUCGAUCGCUGCGGUGACAUGGUAGCUGGGACUUGACUGAACGUCUUGGAAGCACCGCCAAAUUAUAACUUCGACCUGAGAUUAGGUAAGACUACGCGCCGAAUUUAAGCAUAUUAAUAAGCGCAGGAAAAGAAAACAACUGUGAUUCCCUUAGUAAUGGCGAAUGAAACGGGAUUAGCCCAUCGCGGAACUGCAGGUCACCUUGGCCUUGCGGAAUGUCGCGUUCGGGAGAGUCUUAUCGAGUUCUUUACAGCCAGUCCAAGUCCAACUUGACUGUGGCCA